UUGUAGGAUUUAGAAAAAAAAAAACCUUGGAUGGUCGCACCUAUAUAGAGGUACCUAUAGUACCGAUCUCGUUAUAAAUAUAAUAUUAUAUUGCAGUGUUAUGUGCAGUGGUGGUUUCACCCGUCCGGAAAACUAAAUAAUUUAUAUUAUAUGUAUAGGUACGCUCGUUCAGGUAUGUAGGUACGUUGAGGUAGACACCAGCCGGCGAAUUCGUUAUAACAUAUUAUAUACAGGGUGGGUGUUUUUUUCUUUAUCAGUGAUUUAUAAUGGUAAUAACAAUAAUAUCUUUGGUCCCGGAAGAGGACUCGAUUCUAUUUCAUGAAGUUUACAGCGCUGCGAGCUGCAAAUUAAAUAUUGAAAAUAACUACACGUAUUCAAUUGAGACCGGCGAAUAAAGGGGAAAAAAUAACAUACGACAAAAUUGCCAACAAUUGAAAAACAAAGCCCUUCUCUGUUACGUGGGACACAAAACAUAAUGGCUGUACGAGGAUUUCGAUAGAAAUUUUUAUAUUUGUAUUCCCCCCCACCUCCGUCAUUGCAUGAUAAUAAAAUUGGCGAACAUUUACAAUUUACAUAUUUUUUUUUUUUUUUUUUCAAAAUUCCCAAUAAUUUCUUCUCACAUAAGUUUAUAACAAAACCCAUCACGCGCGGGGGUUUAGUUUGAAAACCGUACCGUAUACGAUAAUACAACGAUGUAACAAAUACUGACGGUCAUUAUGUCCGCGGGAAAAAAAAUUUGCUCGGAAUCUCAACAGGCCAUAAUCAAUCGUUACAACCAAUAGCCAGCAUAUAGGCGGUAUUUUUAAUUGCUGUACGUGAACCCGGGCAUUACAGUAUUAUAACCGCCGAUUUCCGAUAGACGAAAAAGUAUCACCCUGUACACAGUGUAGGUAUAUAUUAUACACGUGUGUGUGUGUGUGUGUGUGUGUGUGCGUGUGUGCGUAAUAAUAAUAGCGACCUCCCUUGUAUAUGAUUGUACGCAAUUUACGAGCCGACCCUCUCGGGUUAUUUUUUUCUCCUCUCUGAUCCGCUACACGGGAACAUUCCGCCGGGCCGUUACUGUACCUACACCUACAUGCGUACACACCGACCGGACGGUCGGUACCAAUACCCGCGCCGGAAUACCUAUUCAAACCGGCGCGGGCGAUAAUCCAUAAUAACGUUAUCGGCGCGGGUGAACACCUCGGCGUACGUAAAUCCGCGCCGUCGAAAACGCGUUUGCAGAAUAUCCGCGCACCCAUCGCGAACGUACGGCAGCGCGCGCGAUCGCGUUUCAUUUAAGUAUAUAAAAUUUUUGUUGUUGAGACCGUAACGGCAGUUGUUAUUCGGUCCGGAGUGGCCGUGAUGACAUUCGAGCGGUCGUUUCUCGCCUUUGCGCGGGUUUCGACACCGCGGUGUCUGUGUUAUGCGCGCGUAUCGCGACGAAAUAAAU